rnacentral:rRNA from 1 species
GUGGGGAAUAUUGGACAAUGGGCGAAAGCCUGAUCCAGCCAUGCCGCGUGUGUGAAGAAGGUCUUCGGAUUGUAAAGCACUUUAAGUUGGGAGGAAGGGCAGUAAGUUAAUACCUUGCUGUUUUGACGUUACCGACAGAAUAAGCACCGGCUAACUUCGUGCCAGCAGCCGCGGUAAUACGAAGGGUGCAAGCGUUAAUCGGAAUUACUGUGCGUAAAGCGCGCGUAGGUGGUUCAGCAAGUUGGAGGUGAAAUCCCCGGGCUCAACCUGGGAACUGCCUCCAAAACUACUGAGCUAGAGUACGGUAGAGGGUAGUGGAAUUUCCUGUGUAGCGGUGAAAUGCGUAGAUAUAGGAAGUAACACCAGUGGCGAAGGCGACCACCUGGACUGAUACUGACACUGAGGUGCGAAAGCGUGGGGAGCAAACAGGAUUAGAAACCCGAGUAGUCC